ACGAACGCUGGCGGCAGGCUUCACACAUGCAAGUCGCACGCAUGCCUUCGGGCAUGAGUGGCAGACGGGUGAGUAACGCGUGGGAACCUACCCCUUGGUACGGGAUAGCUCCGGGAAACUGGAGAUAAUACCGUAUGUGUCCUGAGGGACAAAGAUUCAUCGCCAAGGGAUGGGCCCGCGUCGGAUUAGCUAGUUGGUGGGGUAACGGCCUACCAAGGCGACGAUCCGUAGCUGGUCUAAGAGGAUGAUCAGCCACAUUGGGACUGAGACACGGCCCAAACUCCUACGGGAGGCAGCAGUGGGGAAUAUUGGACAAUGGGCGCAAGCCUGAUCCAGCCAUGCCGCGUGAGUGAUGAAGGCCCUAGGGUUGUAAAGCUCUUUCACCGGUGACGAUAAUGACGGUAACCGGAGAAGAAGCCCCGGCUAACUUCGUG
rnacentral:rRNA from 1 species